CUCUAGCCACUAGCGCUGACGACUCCCAGGUCGCUGCCGCCCGUGAGGAUGGCUCACUCGAGAUUUGGCUUGUGUCUCCUGGCUCCGUUGGUUGGCACUGUCAGCUGACUAUACAAGGAGACAGUAAUUCGAGAGUUUCAUCACUGGUUUGGUGUCGAGUUGGCUCAAAAGGAAUGCCAUGUGGCAGGUUGUUCUCAUCAAGUAUUGACGGU
rnacentral:misc_RNA from 1 species